AAAAAGACAAACCCUGGUUUUCGUGUCCAACAUUUGACCGUCCGUCUUAUUUGAAAAAGUUAUGAACAAAAUUAAAAAGAUAAGUCACGCAUAAAGUAUUAAUCAUGUUUUAUCAUCUAACAACAAUGAAAAUACUAAUUAUAAAAAAAUUUCAUAUAAGACAGACAGUCAAACGUUGGCACGGAAACCCACGGUUUGCCUUUUU
rnacentral:pre_miRNA from 1 species